AUGGAGAUGGAGCGCUGGUUAAGCUUGUAUUUCAUAGGCAUAUCCACGGUGCUAGCCCUCUGGUUUCUCAUAUUCUUUGGCAGCAAGAGAAACCCCAAGAAGAAGCAACUCCCUCCCGGGCCGUGGACUCUCCCGAUCAUCGGAAGCCUCCACCACCUCGUCGGUGACCUCCCACACCGCAGGAUGAUGAAGAUGUCUCGCCAGCAUGGGCCGCUGAUGCAUCUCAGGCUAGGUGAGGUCCCAACAGUAAUCGUCUCCAGCGCUGAGGCAGCGGCACUGGUUAUGAAGACCAACGACCUCGACUUCGCAAGCCGGCCCCGCAGUCCGUUGCAGGAUAUCAUGGGCUGUGGCGGUAUGGGCAUCAUCUUCGGCCCCUACGGGGAUCGGUGGCGCCAGAUGCGCAAGAUCUGUAUCGUGGAGCUUCUCAGUUCCAAGCAGGUGAGGCGUAUGGAGGGCAUCAAGGCCAACGAGGUAGGUAACCUCCUCCAUUCCAUGGCCGCCGCCGGUGCUACCGUAAAUGUGAGCGCGAAGAUGGCAACACUCAGCAGCAAUGUCGUGACGCGAGCAGUUUUCGGCGGCAAGUUCACACGGCAGGAUGAGUACCUCCAUGAGCUAAGCAAGGUGAACGAGCUUAUGGGCAGCUUCUGCCUCGUGGACCUUUUCCCGUCAUCACGGCUGGUGCGGUUGCUCAGCAAUGGUGAGCGCCUUAUGAGGAGCAGCUAUGGCCGUAUCCAGCACAUCAUCACUGAGAUCAUCGAGACGCGCAAGGCUGCGCGAGCUGCCGGUGGCCAUGCCCGCAGCACCAAUGAUGAGGACCUACUGGACGUACUACUCAGGCUGCAGGAAGAUGACUCGUUGACCUUCCCUCUAACUUCAGAGAUUAUCGGAGUCGUCAUUUUUGACAUAUUUGGAGCUGCUACUGAGACCACCGGAACUGCAGUGGAGUGGGCUAUGUCAGAGCUAUUGAACAACCCUGAAGCAAUGGCUAAAGCACAACAAGAAGUCCGGGAAGUGCUAGGCCAAGGUCGACAUGUCAUCACAAGUACCGACCUCAAUGAGCUCCGAUACAUGCAGAUGGUCAUCAAGGAGGUGUUAAGGUUGCAUCCUCCGGCUCCGUUGCUCGUCCCCAGAGAGACGAGAGAGGACUGUGAAAUCAUGGGCUAUAACAUGCCUAAAGGCACUAAUAUCUUUGUUAAUGUCUUUGCAAUUUCUCGGGAUCCCAAAUAUUGGGACAACCCCAAAGAGUUCAAGCCGGAGAGGUUUGAGAACAGCAAUGUCGAAUAUUAUGGGACGCAUUUUGAAUUCAUUCCUUUCGGGGCUGGGCGAAGGCAAUGCCCUGGGAUAUUGUUUGCCAUGUCGACCGUGGAGAUUGUCUUGGCAAACCUACUCUACCACUUUGACUGGGUGCUUCCUGGAGGGGCAAGUGCAGAGUCAGUGGAUAUGUCUGAGAAAUUUGGGGUCAGUGUAAGGAGAAAAUUGGACCUGCAGUUGAUAGCCAUUCCAUAUAAACGUUCCAAGGCUAUUUCGAUAUAG
rnacentral:rRNA from 1 species